rnacentral:rRNA from 1 species
CUUCGGUCUGGCGGCGAGUGGCGAACGGGUGAGUAAUGCAUCGGAACGUACCUUUCAGUGGGGGAUAACGUAGCGAAAGUUACGCUAAUACCGCAUAUUCUGUGAGCAGGAAAGCAGGGGAUCGCAAGACCUUGCGCUGAUGGAGCGGCCGAUGUCAGAUUAGCUAGUUGGUGGGGUAAAGGCUCACCAAGGCGACGAUCUGUAGCGGGUCUUAGAGGAUGAUCCGCCACACUGGAACUGAGACACGGUCCAGACUCCUACGGGAGGCAGCAGUGGGGAAUUUUGGACAAUGGGCGCAAGCCUGAUCCAGCCAUGCCGCGUGAGUGAAGAAGGCCUUCGGGUUGUAAAGCUCUUUCGGCCGGGAAAAAAUCGCAUGGGUUAAUACCCUGUGUGGAUGAUGGUACCGGAAUAAGAAGCACCGGCUAACUACGUGCCAGCAGCCGCGGUAAUACGUAGGGUGCGAGCGUUAAUCGGAAUUCUGGGCGUAAAGCGUGCGCAGGCGGUUUUGUAAGACAGGCGUGAAAU